CGCGUAGGCGGAUAGUUUAGUCAGAGGUGGAAGCCCAGGGCUCAACCUUGGAAAUGCCUUUGAUACUGGCUAUCUUGAGUACGGGAGAGGUGUGUGGAACUCCGAGUGUAGAGGUGAAAUUCGUAGAUAUUCGGAAGAACACCGGUGGCGAAGGCGACACACUGGCCCGUUACUGAUGCUGAGGCGCGAAAGCGUGGGGAGCAAACA
rnacentral:rRNA from 1 species